AUUUAAUUGAAAUUGAUUUUGGGAAAAAAGGUGAAAAUUUGGAUUCUGGGGGUGUUUUUGAAAAAACAUCAGAAACCGGGGGUCAAAACGUAAUUUAGAAAAGUUGUGCCAUGUCAGCACCCACAUCAGCAGCCACGACAGCGGCCCGGUCAGCAGCCCCAGCCAACCAGGACAUGCCACGUGGCAAGGAAACGCUGCCAGGGGACGGGCCACGUGGGCGAUCCGCGUGCGUGCGAUCGGACGGCCCAGAUCCGUUCCCGCGCGCACGGAUGGCCCAGAUCAAACGUGCGCAUGGACGGCCCA
rnacentral:lncRNA from 1 species